UUGUUGGAGAGUUUGAUCCUGGCUCAGGACGAACGCUGGCGGCGUGCUUAACACAUGCAAGUCGAGCGGUAAGGCCCUUUCGGGGGUACACGAGCGGCGAACGGGUGAGUAACACGUGGGUGACCUGCCCUCAGCUCUGGGAUAAGCCUGGGAAACUGGGUCUAAUACCGGAUAUGACCUUCCCUCGCAUGGGGGUUGGUGGAAAGUCCUGGGCUUAAUUGUCUGGGUUCGGCUGGGGAUGGGCCCGCGGCCUAUCAGCUUGUUGGUGGGGUGAUGGCCUACCAAGGCGACGACGGGUAGCCGGCCUGAGAGGGCGACCGGCCACACUGGGACUGAGACACGGCCCAGACUCCUACGGGAGGCAGCAGUGGGGAAUAUUGCGCAAUGGGCGGAAGCCUGACGCAGCGACGCCGCGUGGGGGAUGACGGCCUUCGGGUUGUAAACCUCUUUCGACCUUGACGAAGCUUUU
rnacentral:rRNA from 1 species